CCCACCCGGCGCGCGGGCGGGGCUGGAGGCGGAGAAGCGGAAACCAUGGCAACCAGGUCCUUGACUUCGGCUUUGCAGAAGCUCGGUCGUCAUGGUAACAAGGCUGUCUCGAACCAUUCAGCAGAGUAUGCGGUAUUUGAACACAAAAGCACUGUGCUCAACCUGACAACCAAGAUGGCCACUAAGUAAUGAACGUGGUCUUAAGAAGCCACCCCAAGACUAGCUUCCAAGUGGCUCCACAGCCCGGGCUGUCCUGGCUGUCUUAGUCUCUCGAGCACUGGGAUUACAGCUCUCUGUUUCCUGGUCUCUUACCAUGUGAGGAAUCAUGGCAUCAUGCCCCCACCACCUUGGAUGGAUCCAUUCUGUUGUGUCUCCCCGGGGUGAUGGACUGCGUCCCCCUGAAAUCAUGAGUCAAACUAACUCUGUGAUGGCUAAUCUUCCUUGUCAACCUGCCUGGAUUGAGAAUUUCCUAAGAGACAGACAUAGCUUUUGGUGUUACCGUGAAGCAUCUCCAGGGAGUUUAACUGAGCCGGGAAAACCCACCCUGAAUGUGGGUGACGUCAUCCCAUCCACUGGGACUCCAGACUAAAUAAAACAGAGACAGUGAGCGGA